ACUCCUACGGGAGGCAGCAGUGGGGAAUAUUGCACAAUGGGCGCAAGCCUGAUGCAGCCAUGCCGCGUGUGUGAAGAAGCUUCCGUUNUGAUGUAACUUUCAGUCGUGAGGAAGGUAGUGUAGUUAAUAGCUGCAUUAUUUGACGUUAGCGACAGAAGAAGCACCGGCUAACUCCGUGCCAGCAGCCGCGGUAAUACGGAGGGUGCGAGCGUUAAUCGGAAUUACUGGGCGUAAAGCGCAUGCAGGUGGUUUGUUAAGUCAGAUGUGAAAGCCCGGGGCUCAACCUCGGAAUUGCAUUUGAAACUGGCAGACUAGAGUACUGUAGAGGGGGGUAGAAUUUCAGGUGUAGCGGUGAAAUGCGUAGAGAUCUGAAGGAAUACCGGUGGCGAAGGCGGCCCCCUGGACAGAUACUGACACUCAGAUGCGAAAGCGUGGGGAGCAAACAGGAUUAGAUA
rnacentral:rRNA from 1 species